rnacentral:rRNA from 1 species
UAGGGAAUCUUCCGCAAUGGACGCAAGUCUGACGGAGCAACGCCGCGUGAGUGAAGAAGGAUUUCGGUUCGUAAAACUCUGUUGUUAGAGAAGAACAGCGCAUAGAGUAACUGUUAUGCGUGUGACGGUAUCUAACCAGAAAGCCACGGCUAACUACGUGCCAGCAGCCGCGGUAAUACGUAGGUGGCAAGCGUUGUCCGGAUUUAUUGGGCGUAAAGCGAGCGCAGGCGGUCAAUUAAGUCUGAUGUGAAAGCCCCCGGCUCAACCGGGGAGGGUCGUUGGAAACUGGUUGACUUGAGUGCAGACGAGGAGAGUAGAAUUCCGUGUGUAACGGUGAAGUGCGUAGAUAUAUGGAGGAACACCAGUGGCGAAGGCGACUCUCUAGUCUGUAACUGACGCUGAGGUUCGAAAGCGUGGGUAGCAAACAGG